rnacentral:rRNA from 1 species
CCUACGGGAGGCAGCAGCAGGGAAUAUUGCGCAAUGAGCGAAAGCUUGACGCAGCGACACCGCGUGUGGGAUGACGGAUCUAGGUUUGUAAACCACUUUCAGGAGGGAAGAAAAUGACGGUACCUCCACAAGAAGCCCCGGCCAACUACGUGCCAGCAGCCGCGGUAAUACGUAGGGGGCGAGCGUUGUCCGGAUUUAUUGGGCGUAAAGAGCUCGUAGGCGGUUCAACAAGUCGGUCGUGAAAGUUCAGGGCUCAACCCUGAAAUGUCGAUCGAUACUGUUGUGACUAGGAUACGGUAGAGGUGAGUGGAAUUCCGAGUGUAGCGGUGAAAUGCGUAGAUAUUCGGAGGAACACCAAUUGCGAAGGCAGCUCACUGGGCCGCUAUCGACGCUGAGGAGCGAAAGCUAGGGGAGCAAACAGGAUUAGAUACCCUGGUAGUCCUAGCUGUAAACGAUGGAUACUAGACGUAGGAAUUGGAUUAACGAUUUCUGUGUCGUAGCUAACGCGUUAAGUAUCCCGCCUGGGGAGUACGGUCGCAAGACUAAAACUCAAAGGAAUUGACGG